rnacentral:rRNA from 1 species
UGGGGAAUUUUGGACAAUGGGGGAAACCCUGAUCCAGCCAUCCCGCGUGUGCGAUGAAGGCCUUCGGGUUGUAAAGCACUUUUGGCAGGAAAGAAACGUCAUGGGUUAAUACCCCGUGAAACUGAAGGUACCUGCAGAAUAAGCACCGGCUAACUACGUGCCAGCAGCCGCGGUAAUACGUAGGGUGCAAGCGUUAAUCGGAAUUACUGGGCGUAAAGCGUGCGCAGGCGGUUCGGAAAGAAAGAUGUGAAAUCCCAGAGCUCAACUUUGGAACUGCAUUUUUAACUACCGGGCUAGAGUGUGUCAGAGGGAGGUGGAAUUCCGCGUGUAGCAGUGAAAUGCGUAGAUAUGCGGAGGAACACCGAUGGCGAAGGCAGCCUCCUGGGAUAACACUGACGCUCAUGCACGAAAGCGUGGGGAGCAAACAGG